UCCUACGGGAGGCAGCAGUGGGGAAUAUUGCACAAUGGGGGGAACCCUGAUGCAGCGAUGCCGCGUGAAGGAAGAAGAUUUUCGGAUCGUAAACUUCUAUCCGCGAGGAAGAAAAAGGACAGUACUUGACUAAGCAGCCCCGGCUAACUACGCGCCAGCAGCCGCGGUAAUACGUAGGGGGCAAGCGUUAUCCGGAUUUACUGGGUGUAAAGGGAGCGUAGACGGCAGUGCAAGUCUGAAGUGAAAGGCAAGGGCUCAACCCUUGGACUGCUUUGGAAACUGUGCUGCUCGAGUGUCGGCGAGGC
rnacentral:rRNA from 1 species